ACACAAACCUCAAGGUACCUUCUCAACCCACUAUUCAGAAAAGCCAUCAGUUUUUGAGGGGCUGGACAGAGGAUUUAAUGGUUUGCAAUACUGGGAAAUAACAUAAUAACAUUAUUAUAAUGCUCUAUGACCUCAUCUGUUUGCUGAAGUAUUUGUCUCAAAGAAUGUUGUCCCAUUUCAGGACAGCUUCAGGACCAGGAGAGGAGAAUCAAUGACAGUGCUGGGACGCCACAAGAUUUCUUACUAAAAACUGAGAAGACCAAGGCUUCCUUUAUGAAGAAGGGUCAUAUAAACCCUUCUUCAACACACGAGCAAUAAACCACCUCUGCCAAUGAACCUCAAACCUGCAGAAUAGUCAAAAAGGUGCCUUCUUUCCCUCAACAAACCAAAAAGCCACCUAACAACAGUGAGAGGAGCAUCUGGGAAAUAAAGCAGAACGACUCUAUAGG